rnacentral:rRNA from 1 species
CAGCCGCCACGGUAAUACGUAGGGUGCGAGCGUUAAUCGGAAUUACUGGGCGUAAAGCGUGCGCAGGCGGUUCGUUAAGACAGAUGUGAAAUCCCCGGGCUUAACCUGGGAACUGCAUUUGUGACUGGCGAGCUAGAGUAUGGCAGAGGGGGGUAGAAUUCCACGUGUAGCAGUGAAAUGCGUAGAGAUGUGGAGGAAUACCGAUGGCGAAGGCAGCCCCCUGGGCCAAUACUGACGCUCAUGCACGAAAGCGUGGGGAGCAAACAGGAUUAGAUACCCCGGUAGUCCCUGUCUCUUAUAC